GGCAAUUUAUUUCCCACACGUCAAAACUGAGCCAGGAGGAAGGGAAUUCGGAUGGAAAUAAUGCAAUUUGUUUGAUUUAGUUUUACCUGUAAAAUUAGGGCUCCCCACCACCACCACCACUUUGAGCCUUCUAGAGUUUCCCACUCCCAGGAAACUGAUGGAGGGAGCAGGCACUGCCCACGCUGCCCAGGGCUUCAGGCACUGCCCAGGGCUGCCCAGGGCUUCAGGCACUGCCCACGCUGCCCAGGGCUCCAGGGCCUGAGGGUGCAGGGGCAGCAGCAGCAAGACAAGACUGUAAGCCUCCGAGAGGAAAAUCACUUGACCCAAAAUACCAAGUAGUGUUGGUCAGGAUCAAGUCCACAGCCUGGAUCCUGACUUGUCAUCUUGGGGUCCCUGGAGCAGUAUUAUCAGCGUCACCCCAGAGCUUGUGUGGCUCAGAAAGGAGACACUGUUUGCCAUGAGAAUGGAGGUUGGAGCCAGUGUCUGAGUUAGCAUCUGCCUGCUCCACCUAUACCUUCACCACCUAUAUGGACCUGUUAUAUUACAAAAUGGAGCAAUCCCUUCAUCUCAGUUUGGGGAUCCACGAGGUUGCAGGGGGAAGAAGAACAAAAAAAGAGAGCCGAGUGGAGUCAUCGAGAGGAGGUCAGAGAAGGCAAGAGGCUUGUUCAAGAGUGAACACAACUCCAUGCCAGAGUUGGCGCUGGGAUCCAGAUCCCUUAUCCCUAAGUCCUUGCCCCCCAAGUAGCCUUAAUCAUAGUAACCUGCUUUCACCGGGGAGCCGGGGCAGUGGGCAUUGC
ensembl:lncRNA